AGGGAAUCUUCCACAAUGGACGAAAGUCUGAUGGAGCAACGCCGCGUGAGUGAUGAAGGUUUUCGGAUCGUAAAACUCUGUUGUAAGGGAAGAACCAGUACGUCAGGCAAUGGACGUACCUUGACGGUACCUUAUUAGAAAGCCACGGCUAACUACGUGCCAGCAGCCGCGGUAAUACGUAGGUGGCAAGCGUUGUCCGGAAUUAUUGGGCGUAAAGCGCGCGCAGGUGGUUUCUUAAGUCUGAUGUGAAAGGCCACGGCUUAACCGUGGGAGGGCGUUUGGAACGGGGAGGCUUGAGUGGAGAAGAGGAAAGGUGAAUUCCCAGUUGAGGGGGUAAAUUGGUUGGGAUUUUGAGGAACACCAGGGGAGGAGGCGACUUUCUGGUCUGCAACUGACGCUGAGGCGCGAAAGCAUGGGGAGCAAACA
rnacentral:rRNA from 1 species